rnacentral:rRNA from 1 species
UGAGUAAUACAUAAGUAACCUGCCCUAGACAGGGGGAGUAACUAUUGGAAACGAUAGCUAAGACCGCAUAGGUACGGACACUGCAUGGUGACCGUAUUAAAAGUGCCUCAAAGCACUGGUAGAGGAUGGACUUAUGGCGCAUUAGCUGGUUGGCGGGGUAACGGCCCACCAAGGCGACGAUGCGUAGCCGACCUGAGAGGGUGACCGGCCACACUGGGACUGAGACACGGCCCAGACUCCUACGGGAGGCAGCAUG